rnacentral:rRNA from 1 species
CACGUAGGAGGCAAACGUUAUCCGGAUUUACUGGGCGUAAAGCGCGUGUAGGUGGUUAUGUAAGUAGGGCGUGAAAGCUCCCGGCUCAACUGGGAGAGGCCGUUCUAAACUGCAGAGCUAGAGGAUGGUAGAGGGAGGUGGAAUUCCAGGUGUAGCGGUGGAAUGCGCAGAUAUCUGGAGGAACACCAGUGGCGAAGGCGGCCUCCUGGACCAUUCCUGACACUCAGACGCGAAAGCUAGGGUAGCAAACGGGAUUAGAUACCCGUGUAGU